rnacentral:rRNA from 1 species
UACGGGGGGGGCAAGCGUUGUUCGGAAUCAUUGGGCGUAAAGGGCGCGUAGGCGGUGCCGUAAGUCUGGUGUGAAAUCCCCGAGCUUAACUCGGGUCCCGCGCCAGAGACUGCGGUGCUCGAGUGUGGGAGAGGAGAGUGGAAUUCCCGGUGUAGCGGUGAAAUGCGUAGAUAUUAGGAAGAACACCAGUGGCGAAGGCGGCUCACUGGCCCGGUACUGACGCUGAGGCGCGAAAGCGUGGGGAGCAAACAGG